rnacentral:misc_RNA from 1 species
CAGAGUUUCCAAAACUCCGACACCACUGUGAACCUACCCUCAGCCGUUGCUUCGGCGGGCCGGCCCCCGAGCCGCCCGGGCCCCUCAGGGGGCGCCCGCCGGAGGUACCCAAACCACUGUCGCUGUGUGGCCUCUCUGAGUAACUGUACCGAAUCAGUCA